GAACAGAGAAUGUCAGAGCUGGGAGAGAGCUUAGAACAGAGAAUGUCAGAGCUGGGAGAGACCUUAGAACAGAGAAUGUCAGAGCUGGGAGAGACCUUAGAACAGAGAAUGUCAGAGCUGGGAGGGACCUUAGAAUAGAGACUGUCAGAGCUGGGAGAGACCUUAGAACAGAGAAUGUCAGAGCUGGGAGAGAGCUUAGAAGAGAGAAUGUCAGAGCUGGGAGAGACCUUAGAACAGAGAAUGUCAGAGCUGGGAGGGAGCUUAGAACAGAGACUGUCAGAGCUGGGAAAGAGCUUAGAACAGGGAAUGGCAGAGCUGGGAGAGAGCUUAGAACAGGGAAUGUCAGGACUGGGAAGGAGCUUAGAACCCAGAAGGUCAGAGCUGCACAGGGAAGGCAGAACCUAGAACGUUAGAAGGGAGCUGAAAUGGAGGCGACCCUGCCGAGGAGGCCUCUCGGUGCCUGCGUGGUGGGGGCUGUUCCCCAGUCACCCGCCCUCUGUGGUUACCGUCGUGGCUGCUGGUGAGCGAGCCUGCUUGUUGUUCCAUUAGGGCUGGCUGUAAUGGAAUCGGCUGCCCUGGUUGAGCAUUUGUAUUAAAUUAAUAUCGCCUCCACAGAGACAAUCAGUUGGCAUUUAAUUUUCCUUUCCUUCAGAGAGUGGCUCGAGCAGCCAGGUGUAGCAGGCUGGGCAGCGGGUCAGGGCCUUGGGCAGGCUGGGCAGUGGGGAGAGGAGGCUUUGGGGUGGGGUGGUUUUGAGCGAUUUCUACAAAGGCAGUGGAGUGGGUUUCUGGUCUGGUCGGGGAGGCCCGACGUAGGGGCACCUUAGAGAAGAAUCCCCUCCGCUCUGCGGCAUCGGCCCUGGCGGAGGUCGAGGAAGAGGGGGCGGCUGCCCCUCGGGCCCCCUUGCAGUCCUGAGGGCCCUCCCAGGAGCUCUAUUUAGAAGGCACUUGGGAAAACUCGAGCGGCUCCAGAGACAUGCUGGCAGAAGAGUGCCCUGAUCAGGGCAGAAUUAGUUAAUCAAAGAUUUGGAGGAGACCUCAAAGGCCGACCCAGGGAGGGGCAUCCAAGGCCCAUGUUAGCCAAUUCCGGAUUAGGAGGCAGAUGAAAUGGCAGAGGAGGGGGGGGGGGGGAUUAGACUGAGUAAUCUGCGAGUCCCGGCGAUGGGCUCCAACAUGCCGUCAGGCCCACUCCCACUCUCCUGAGCCCUGGCACACCUAGCCUGUGGAGCCCAGCAGGGGAAUGAGCUCCCCGAAACCAGAAAAGGGUGCGCUCUGAAGAGGCUGCCAGGAGAAAAAUCAGGGAGCCAAAUCACCAGCAUGCCAGCUCCUCUGCCUCCUCACCCCCACCCCUUCCCUCCAGCACCCUUUCUAUCCCCAGACACCCCCAAAUCAGGCUCUGAGGCACAAUUUUUCUAAUAUUUGUUUGGCAGCUUCAGUAGGUCUAAGGACCCCACUCUUUGGGGUCUUCCUCCCCUCGGAGAGGAUGCCAGGCUGGUAUAAGGCUUGUAGAGGAAAGGCCCUUCAUUUGGGGGUUUCUCAGGAGUUCUGGGUUCUAUUCCUGCCUCUCCUGCUAAAGCAUCAGAAACUUCGUCUUCCUCUUUGACUUAAGUAUUCAUUCUCAUCUGUACUGUGAUGACCUCCUACCUGCUUCCCAGCUCUGACAGUCUGAGUUUGAGACUUCCUCCCAGCUCUGACAUUCCCUGUUCUAAACUCUCUCCCAGCUCUGACAUUCUCUGUUCUAAGGUCUCUCCCAGCUCUGACAUUCUCUGUUCUAAGGUUCUCCCAGCUCUGACAUUCUCUGUUCUAAGGUCUCUCCCAGCUCUGACAUUCUCUGUUCUAAGGUCUCUCCCAGCUCUGACAGUUUCUGUUCUAAGGUCUCUCCCAGCUCUGGCAUUCUCUGUUCUAAGGUCUCUCCCAGCUCUGACAGUCUCUGUUCUAAGCUCUCUCCCAGCUGUGACAUUCUCUGUUCUAAGGUCCCUCCCAGCUGUGACAUUCUCUGUUCUAAGGUCUCUCCCAGCUCUGACCUUCUCUGUUCUAAGCUCUCUCCCAGCUCUGACAUUCUUGGUUCUAAGCUCUCUCCCAGCUCUGACAGUCUCUGUUCUAAGGUCUCUCCCAGCUUUGACAGUCUCUGUUCUAAGCUCUCUCCCAGCUGUGACAUUCUCUGUUCUAAGGUCUCUCCCAGCUCUGACAUUCUCUGUUCUAAGGUCUCUCCCAGCUCUGACAGUCUCUGUUCUAAGGUCUCUCCCAGCUCUGACAUUCCCUGUUCUAAGGUCUCUCCCAGCCCUGACAUUCUCUGUUCUAAGGUCUCUCCCAGCUCUGACAUUCUCUGUUCUAAGCUCUCUCCCAGCUCUGACAUUCUCUGUUCUAAGGUCUCUCCCAGCUCUGACAUUCUCUGUUCUAAGGUCUCUCCCAGCUCUGACAUUCUCUGUUCUAAGGUCUCUCCCAGCUCUGACAUUCUCUGUUCUAAGCUCUCUCCCAGCUCUGACAUUCUCUGUUCUAAGCUCUCUCCCAGCUCUGACAUUCUCUGUUCUAAGGUCUCUCCCAGCUCUGACCUUCUCUGUUCUAAGCUCUCUCCCAGCUCUGACAUUCUUGGUUCUAAGCUCUCUCCCAGCUCUGACAGUCUCUGUUCUAAGGUCUCUCCCAGCUUUGACAGUCUCUGUUCUAAGCUCUCUCCCAGCUGUGACAUUCUCUGUUCUAAGGUCUCUCCCAGUUCUGACAUUCCCUGUUCUAAGGUCUCUCCCAGCUCUGACAUUCUCUGUUCUAAGGUCUCUCCCAGCUCUGACAUUCUCCGUUCUAAGGGCUCUCCCAGCUCUGACAUUCUCUGUUCUAAGGUCUCUCCCAGCUCUGACAUUCCCUGUUCUAAGCUGUCUCCCAGCUCUGACAUUCUGGGUUCCGAUGACUUGGUCUCCAGCCCCAUGUCUGCCUGCAAGAAUUCACAAUGCUCAGGAGUCUGGACAGACUAGACCCGGGUGGCUUUGAAUUCUGGCCCUGUGCCCACUGCUGUGUUGUGGAACAUAGACUUAGCUUUACGGUACACGGAGUGCUAGCCUUGGAUUUAGGAAGACUGAUUUAAAAUGUGGCUCUGACCUUUACUAAGCCCUGUGACUUUGAGCAAGUCUUUUAACUUCUGUCUGCCUCAGUUCCCUCAUCUGUAAAAGGGGGAUAAUAUUGGCAUCAGCCUCUCAGGAUUGUCAUAAGAUCAAGGGAGAUAUUGUUUGUAAAGCACUUAGAACAGUGUGUGGCACAUAGUGAGUGCUAGAGAAAUACUGGUAUUAGAUUGAAUUGCUUGUCAGCUCUGGGAGUCGUAGGGAGGGAGACAAUUUGGAUUAUAUAAGUUCAGAAAACUCACAUGGAUAUUUGUUAUUACAUGUAAUUGGUAAAAUAUCUUUAUAAUGAAACCUAAAUUAAAAAAGAAAUAGUGGUAUCCCUUCUGCAUCCCAGAGGAGGGGGAGCAGCGUAUUUCUGCUUCCCUGACCUGGAAAAUUCGGGUAAAAGUUUUUAACUUUCCCUUCAUACCAGAGAAGAAAUUAGAUUUCUUUCUUUUUCUUUUAUGGGGCAUUUACAGUAAAAUAAAUUUAUAGGGGGCAGCUAGUGGAUGGAGAACCAGGCCUAGAGACGGGAGGUCCUGGGUUCAAAUUUGACCUCAGACACUUACUAGCUGUGUGACCCUGGGCAAGUCACUUGACCCCCAUUGCCUAGCCCUGACCACUCUUCUGCCUUGGAGCCAAUACACAGUACUGAUUCCAAGACCGAAGGUGAGGGUUAAAAAAAAAAAGAAAGAAAUUGUAUAUAUCUAAGGUAUUCAAAGCCUGAAUCAAAAUGUUUAUCAGAAGAUAAAAUGUGUUGAUAUUAUAUAAUAGCAUACAUAUAGUUUAUGUAUUUCUGAAUUUCUCAUUUUUGUGUGUGUGUCAUCUGUGGCUUCUGACAAUCUCCCUCCCAAUUCCCACUUAUUUUCUUGUGCUGCCCCGCCAUGGGGAAAGUCCCUGCCUGGAAGAGAUAUGUGUCCUAGCUUUCGUUAUUAUGAUUGUGGCUACAAGGGAGCCUUCCUCCGACUUCAGUAGCCAAAGGUCAUCCCUGGUCCGUGGAGGAGAGAAGUGGCCGCUCCCUCGAGAGCUCUGUCAUUGGGUUGGAGGGGAGUUUGGGCCUCCCCUGGGGAAUUGCUAAAAGAGCGCCAUGUAUAUAGUCCAAGCUACCUCCCAGAGAGUGUAGGAGCUGAGAGGGUUGGACCUUGGGAGAAGCUUCAGCCUGAGCCCCGUCGCAAACUUGGGGUGAAUAGGAAGAGAGAAUGGAGGCAGCGGAGGCCCCCAGGUCUGGCAGGGGCCUUUGGGGGGGCAGCUGUCAUGGGCUGGAUCUUGGAGUCCAGCCUGGAGAAGUCUGAAUAAUAGAAGAGAAGGCUGAAGGGGUGGCUUUGGCCUAGAGGAGCCAGAGGAGGAGGAGCUGCUUUGUCUUCCCCAGCACCCUGGCGAGAGAUCACUUUGCAGCCCUGUUUGCUUGGCUUUGAAGCUCUAAGGUGGGGGCUCUGAGGGGAGGGAAGCAGAAAAUUUGUGCCUCUGAACAGGAAAUUCCAGCCUUUCAGAUUCUUGCCUGGGCUAAAAGGGAGACUGUGGGUUCCCCAAAGAAUAGAAUAUACUUAAGAAAGUUAGAACAGAGGGUGUCAGCGCUGGGAGGGACUGUAGAAUCCAAGGUGUCAGGCGCCGGGGUCCCUCCAGAUGUGCCACAGGCCCCCUCGACUGGCUUGUGAAAUCCACUAUACUGAUUCUAAGACAAAAGGUGAGAGUUUUAAAAAUCCGUGGAUCCCACCGUAUGAUCUGAGCUAGUCUCUCCCACCUUGAAGCCCGAGGGAAUAAAAUGACUUGUCUAAGGUCAGCCAAACAGUAGCAGCGAUGAGAUUAGAAUUUAAAUGUUGGGACCCCAAAUCCAGUCUUUCUGCUGUUACAGAGAUGGUUCUGAUUCCCAACUGAAAGCCUUUGGGGGCUGGGCCCAAUUGAGGGCUCUAUAACAAUCUUCUGGCCUGGCCUCCAUAUUUCUCUUGACCUAGGGUCCCUGGAAUUCUUUUAAGGGCAGGAUGUGAAAAAUGCAUGAGUCAACUGCGAUGACUUCAGCAUGGAUUUCCUGGCUUCUGCAGGCUCUGCUUUGUCAGCCUCUUCUCUCCAGACCCAUGUCUCAUAGAGCCCCACAAGGUUGUCUUUUGGAGGGGAAGAGGCAUGUAUGGGAGGAGGAGCUCACUAAACGCAUGAACCUAGAGACCAUGGUGGAGACGCUCCAAGAGGCGGCCCAAGAAGCAGAGGCUAUCCAGGAGGAGAUGAACGAGAAGAUUGAGCGGCUGAAGGCUGAGCUGGUGGUGUU